AUUAUUAUUAUUAUUAUUCCGAGCUCAAAUUUUGCCACGGUCGUCUUUGCAUUUCUUCCUUUCGGGGUCGAUGAAAAUUAGUACCAGUUGGUCACUAGAGUCGAUGCAAUCGCC